rnacentral:tRNA from 1 species
GCCGAAGUGGCGGAAUGGCAGACGCGCCAGGUUCAGGACCUGGUGAGGAUAACCUCGUAGGGGUUCAAAUCCCCUCUUCGGCA